rnacentral:lncRNA from 1 species
UCAUGCUGCUUCCAACCUAGAGCUGGUUUCUCAUUCAUCAAUGAAGCUAGCAGCUGCCUUUUUUUCUCUUGCCCUGAAGAUGAUGUUGACGAUUUGGCAGCAAUCGAGCUGCGUUUGCGACAAGCAAUCAAUGGGACUGAUAGUUUAGGUUUCAUUGACAAGGAGAGUGACAGUUGGGGUUCUGGUUUCAAAGGCAUCUGGGAUUCAGGUACCCUACUUGAUGAUUGUUCUUUGGGCAAUACGCUUGAAUUGCGAAACUGGGUACGAAUCUCCUUGGAGACAAGUCGUCGAAACUCAAUAGCAGCAGCAUGUUCUGAGGAUUCCUUGCCGAAGAAAAUGAUGGCAUUGGUUAAAAGCAACAGCAAGUCUCUAAAGAACUUGCUUUUACAUCCUGAAUACCAGCCUUCUUCAACCCUCAUGCCAAUAGUCUCUAAGUCAAGAUGUUGCCGGAUCAAGUUCGAGUAAUCCGGUGUUUUCUGCAAUAUUGAAAAUUGACCAUAAAUCACCGUCUUAGCACCUAAUUGUGUUCUUCAAUUGCCUAGCAUUAAAAUUAAUUUUAUAGAAAAUGCAACUAACGGGAGCACAUAGGCUAAAGACAGCAGUUUAAUUCCACAGCACACACAAGCUUUUGUUUUUAUUUGAAGACCAUUAUGAGUAACAACUAAAGAUUUUGGUUCACGCAACUACUUUGUAAGAAAGGACAUCCUUCAAAAAUCCAACAAUUACCGGAUUUACCAAGACAAAAGACAUCUAACUCAUACCUUUCCCCAAUCAACUAAAUAAAAACUAAUCCUAAGUGGUAGACACAUGCUUUUGUUUCUUUAGACAUAAAACAUGCAAGUGUUCACGUGGGGUCGACACAAAUAAGGUUCCAGGCUCCUUAAUUGUAUUUAAAAUGAAAAGAUGGAAGAAUGGAAACAACUAACAGCAGUUAGGAGAGUUAAAAUAUAAUUUCACUAUUUUAUUAGCAAAUAUCUUUAUAUUUAUAAACUAAAUCAAAAUUUUAUUUUUUGCAGGGUUAAAAGUGCAAAUUUACUAUAUACAGACUUAUAAUUUUAUAAAUUUUAAAUAAUCAGAAGUGCAAUCUCCCAUUUUAGGGGAGGCGCCGCCGCCCCUGAGCUGGAGACUGGAAAAAGAAAAGAAGAAAGGCUUCUCCAAGUUUCUUACUGGGAUAAGAUAACCUAACCACCAUAUUUUUUUAGAACAAUUUACGUGCCCAAUGGAUUUUUUGUGCCUUCACACAACUCAUUACCCCUAAAAAAAAUAAUGCCAGGUUCACAGCAAGAGAAUGGACCAACUAACAACUCUUCAUCGGGUUAUCAAAUGGACCCUCAGUUCACUGCUUCCUUCCUCCUAACUCUAAAUAAUGCCAACAUUAAUAUAUAUAUAUAUAUAUAAGCUUAUGAAUAUGACCUCUGAAGUUAAGAAUUCUUGGUUCAUUCUACGAAAUUAACAAUUAACAAUAAUAAAAUAAAAUUUAUAUAAUGAGAUUUAAAAAGGUUCAAUAAUAUUAAUCACAACACCACCAAUAUCCGGGCCAACCUUCAAAAAUCUUAUUUAUUGAGAAAGAUGUAUAGUAAAAAAAUUAAUAUUAAUAUUAAAAAUAAACCACAAUUCUCCAUUUUUUUAAAUAAAGAAAUGGAUAUUCUUUUAGAUGAAAAAGUUGUUUAAAAAUAAAUAAAUUUUAUUUAAAUUAAAAAUACAACUUAAUUUUUUUUAUGAUUUUUUAUUAAUUUUCCAACAUAUUUGACUCGUGACAUAUGAUUAAAAAGAACAAAAAUCUUUUCUACAGACAAAAAAUACCUAAUUCUCGGUAAUUAUAAAAAAAAACCUUAAUUCUACGCAUGGGCCCAAACCAACAUCUCUGCAGCACAUGAUAUUAUUCACACGAGAAGACAAAGAAUGAAAGGGAUUUUUUCGUCAAUUCAAACCACUAAAAAACCAAGCACCACCGUAUUAAUCAACGCUUGCAUGUAGCUCUAACAUUCUUCUUUCUUUAAAGAAAAAAAAAUCCUCUUCAUAGGUAGAUCUAACCUAAACGCACGAAAAGAAAAUCAAUUCUUCUCCGCACACAACUAAUAGUUUACCAUGUAUCUCCUUGCAUAAUCAUUGUAGUUAUAUUUUUAAUAAUUUAAUCCCUAUAUCUUUUAUAUUUUAUAUUUUAUAUUUUAAAUAUUUUUUAAUUAUAUUAUUAUGAAGUGAAAAUCUAACAGUACUAAAAAUUGUACUUAUAUUUUUAAAUUAUGGCACAUCUUCUGUGAAAAACAAAUUAAGUUUUUAAAUAAAAUGGUUGCCUAGUAGGUUUUAUAUAACAUUAUAAAAAAAAUUAUCAUUAUAAUAUAUUAUUUUUUAAAUAAAAAGAUUUUUAAUAUUUUUCAAUCUUGGUGUUGAAUUAUUUCAAAUUAAUAAAAGAUUAAUCCCCUAAAUCAGAUCAGCGGGCAAGAUUAAUUUUAAUGGGCUGAUUACAUAAAUUAGAUAACCAAAACUUUCUUAAAUUUCAAAUACCAAAUAGUAUUUAUCCAUUUAUCUUCAAAAUCACCAAACCUAACCCUGCCGACCUGUCAUCGCCAGAUUGGACCGUGAUGCUCUCCAUCUAACCCGCGCAGCAACCAAUCAAAAUCUUCUUUUAUUUUUUUCCCUCAUUAUAAAUAGUAAUUAAACAAUUUUUUUUAAAAAAAUAAACUAAUAUUUUAAAUAUACAUAUAGAAUAUUUUGUUUUACCUGGAUUUCGAGUCGGCGCUCGAAAAGGGAGCCGAGCUUAUGAGACCGGAAGAUAUCGAGCAACGCAACCAACGGCUGAGAUUCAACGGACACCUUCUUGAUGGAGAGAGAUUGGUCCAACUCCCCAUUAUCCGGUUCGUCCGGUUCAGCAUUUUUCUUUUCCUUCCCGGACAAGCUAGCCGAGCUCUGUACAUCGCUGCUCUCUCUAUUAGGUUCUUCUCCCUUAGACUCGGCCACUGACUCCGGCGAAUCACCGGUUUCUCUCGGGUCAACUCGCUCUGAGUUUUCAGCUGAUCCCUUCGCCACACUAUCACAGCUCCCGUUGCACGAAGCUUCUCCCCCAGGCUUCACGCUCUGCACCUCUUUCCCCGUUUCACCUCCAUCCGGUUCGACAGGUUCCGGUUCAACUUUCGCUUCGUCUGGUCCAGUUCCCGGGGAUUCCUCUUUCGGAUCUGUAGAGUUCGACUCGUUUACCGAAUGGUUCUCCCGCUCGGACUCUUCCCUGCUAUUAACGGGCCGUCGGGUAAUGUUCUCCGUUUCGUUUUCUUCCUUUUUUUCACUUCCCUUUUCUGGCUCCAGAUCCGAUUUUUCAGUUUCCUUUCCGUUCUCUGUCAAGCUCUGUUCUCUUUCUUCUUUUAAUUUCUGCACCUUCAUUUGUAAGGACCUGUAAAGUAACAGAAAAAUGUUACCGAUUUUUGCCCCCCACCCUAAAAGAAGUAAUUUAAUAUUUUUAUAAAAAAUGAUUUAGUAAUAAUUUACACGAUGGAGAGAUCAUAUUGUUGAACUUCGCGGCGUAGUUCGGCGACGCGGAGUCUCCGGAGCUCAUCAAGCCAAGGAACGGUGCUGGUGGAGAUGUUGUUAUUAGUAGUUUCGCCGUCGUCGCCGUUUUCAGCGAAACGGCGUUUAAGGUCUUGAAACUUCUGUUGACAAGAAAGGGGAGUAAAGAAGAGGUGUUGGAACGUAGAAGUUCGCUUCUGUAGUUCCAUAGCAACGGAGUCCCAACUGUUGUUACCGUAACGAUGAACGGCGCAGGCGAGUAAAAGCUCCUCCCAGGUACCCCAUGUUUGUUUCUCGGGAAAGCUGUGGUGUUUAGCCAUGAAAUAAAUGAAAAGAAGAGAAGGAAAAGAUAUUAAUAGUACCGGUCACGGUUCAAUAAUAAGUCUCUUUUUGCGAAUAAGUAAGUACCUUUUUAUUCAAAUAAAAUUUUCUAUUUAUGAUUCGUUUGUACUCUAGAAUUUUUAAGGGAAUAGCUAGGCUGCUUCAAUUUCAUUUCCAUUGUAGGUUAAAAUCAUCUUCAAAUAUCUUCCUCGUAUAUUAUUUUCGGAUUUUAUUUUUUAAAAUUUUAUAAUUUAAAUCUUAUUAUUAACCUCAUCAAAAAAAAACCUAUUGGAAUAAUGUUAAUUAGAAAUAAAUCUAAAUGAAUGGAGUUGGAGCAUAUUUGUUAUUAUUUAUUAUUUUGAAGUAGGAGGGGUGUCAUGAAUUUAGAAUGGGAAAGGGAGCCCUAGGAUGCCGAACCAGAAGGAACAGGCCUAAGGUUAUUGGGCUGAUUGAUUGAUGGAGGGUGAGGCGGACCAAGUUAGCAACAUUUAGUAGCGGGCUGAUUCCUACAGCAAGCCCAAGGGACUGAUUUAAUGACUGGAUUGCUGAUGACUCAUUUUCCUCUCAUGCUAGCUGUUAAAAAAGUGAAGUUUGUUACAACAGAAUUUCUAUUAUAUUCUCAAGGCAUGGAAUGAAAUCAGUAGUUUCCCUUUCUCUCAAUCUCCUUCUACUUCUUUCUUUUUCUUUUCUUAAAAUUUAUUAUUUAUAUUUAUAAUUGAAUAACUUUUAUAUUUUUUAUUAAAUUUCUUAACUUAAUACUCAUAUUAUAAAUUAUUUAUUUCAAAACUCUAAAAUAUUAUAUUAAGCCUAAAGCAACUAAUACACAAAAUAGACUAUAUAGUCUAAAAUAAAAAUAAGUUAAACUCAAUACUAAAGACAAGUUAUAAAAGUUAAAAUCCAAUUCAAAAUUUAAUUUAAUAAAAAUAAUAUUUUAUUAAUCUAUUAAUUUUUUUAAUAGUAUUUUAUGUACUUUAUUAUAAUCUUAAUAUAAUAAUAUUUUUUUAACAAUCUUUUUUAUAGGUUUUGGUCAUAUCUGCUCUUCUUGAUACAAUGCCUAGAACUACUUAUAGUCCUCCCCAACUCAUAAAUAAGAAGAUAAUACACUUCAACACACUCGAACCCAUGUCUCUUACAUUCGCAACCCAAAUAGAACUUACAUGCAAACGACCCAACUUUUAAAGCAUUCAAACAUGGCUUCCAAACUUUUCUUUUCAAUGUUUCGGUGAAAAGAUGAAAGUGACGAAGAAUAUCACUUUGUUUUUGUUGUAUUAUUCUUUAAUAAUUUACAUUAAUUAAAUUAUAACAUAUAUUAUAAUAUAAACAAAUGACUAACAAGCCAUUAACAUAAUUAUGGCUAAAUUUCCAUAUAAAACCAUCCAAUUAUACUUUUAUACUUAAUUAGCACUUAUAAACUAAUAAUAUUUGACUUUUGUAGUUUUUACGAUUUAAUCUUUUUUCCUUAAUUAACAAUUAAUUCAUCAAAAAAUUUGGACCAAACUUCAAUUCACCUAUAUAACAUCUCUAUAAGUAUUUAAUAAAAAUAUUCAUAGGAUCAAUUUACAGAAACGAGGUCUCGAUCCUCAUUUUCAAAAACCAUUCAACUUUUGGUAUGCACCACUUAUAUCUUGAUUAACUGAUCAAUUAUUAAAAUGUAUUAAAUCAAGAUUCACUGUUGUACUAUAUUUAACUCAUAAAUAUUAAUUAAAUAUAUCUACAAUCUCUCUCAUCAAAAUUAUUGUUUUCGAUACCACUGAAAAACGGACUAUUACAAUCCUCCUAUUUAUGAGUCGGGGAAGGGCUAUAGGCAGUUCUAGGUAUUAUGUAAAAAAAAAAAGAGCGGAUGUGAUCAAAUCUUAUAAUGAUAUUGUUCAAAAAAAUAUUAAAUAUUAUUGUUUAUUAUUAUCUUGGUUGAUUUAUACUUUAAGUCUCUAUACUCUUCGUACAUUUGAAAAUUAGCGCUUCUACUAUAUUAUAUACUGCUAUCUUAUAUCAUAGAAUAUAUAAUACAUUAAAAGUUUAUAUAUACGCAUUAAUGAAUAAACAUUUUUUACCAAAAAAAGAAAUAAACAUUAUAAUAUUAUGUAAUACUAUCUUUUAUUAUAAUUUAUAACAUAAUAAUAGUUAUAUAUGUGUAUUGAUAGUUUUAGUCAUAGUUAUACACUAUAUUAUUAUAUUAUGUAGUAGUAUAUCAUUUAUUAUAGUUAGCGGUUAAAACCAACCUAACUGACAAAAUUGAGUCAAUUCAAGCGAAUCAGUUUGUAAAUUCAGUUUUCAUUUUGGACCAAUUAACAGUUAUAUAUGUAUUAAUAAUUUUAAAAUAUAUUAUUAUAUUAUGUAAUACUAUAUCCCAUAUUGUAAUAGUAAUACAUAAUAUACUAAUUAUUAAAUCCUAUUUAUUAUAUUGGUAGAAAUAUGUUCUAAGUAUUUAUAUUUUUCAUACAUUUGAAAGUUAACCUUCCUAAUAUACAAUACUAUUGCAUAGCAUAUAAUAUAUAAUAUAUUAAUAGUUUAUAUAUAUGCAUUAAUGAUUAAAACAUUAUAAUAUUAUGGGUAACUGAGCCAUAAACUAUAUCUUGGAUUGCAUUUUAGCCCCUCUACUAAAAAUUUGGACAAAUUAGCCCUAGUACAUAGGGGUGUGCAAAUUUCGAGUAAAAUCAAAUUAAUUCGGGUAACAGACCAAAUUCAGUUAAUCGGUCGGUUAAUCAAAUUAAUUCAGUCGGGGGUCGGUUAAUAAUUUUUUAGAAGUUCAGUUAACGGUUAAUUAGGUUCGAAAUCGGUUAAUUAAUCGAAUUAACCGAAAAUUUAUAUUUUUAUAUAUAUUUUACAUAUAUUAAAUUCGGCUAAUUUGGUUAAUUCGGCUAUUUUUUAUAUGUUUUAUACUUGUUUUAACCAAAAAACAAAAAACAUAUAAAUUUCGGUUAAUUCGGUUAACCGACCGAAUUAACCAAAAAAUUUUGGGUUGGUUAACCGAUUAAACACCCCUACUAGUACAUUAGAUGAGUAAAAGCAAAACAUCCCAUUUGUUAAAAUUUAGUGUUUAUAUAUAAGGUAUAAUAACAAGUUUAGCCCUUAAUCUUUACACAUUUAUUCAAUUUGACCCCUAAUAUUUUAUUGGAAGUAAAUUAGAAUUUUUUAAAACUAAUAAAGCUAAAAGGUCAAAGAACCCUUAUUAACAAAUUCAAAAAAAAUCAAUUAAGCCUUUUAAAUUUUAAUAAUUAUUUAAAAAAUCAUAAAAAUAACUGUAAACAAAAUUUAUAGAAAAGGUUAUAAAAUUUUUUUAUUAAAAAUAACAAUACCGGCCCAUUAAAAUUUAAUGGUUAUAAGAAUUAAAAAAAAAAAUUGACCCCUACUCUUAUUUGGUUGGUAUUGCUAUUUUUUAAUAAAAUAUUAUAAUUUUUAAGAGAAGGGUAAGAAUUUGAGUAAUUAUAUAAGUAAUUACACUCGAUUUUUUUAUACAUGUUUAAGUUAUAAAUUUUUAUAUUAUAAGCAUGAACAUAGAUGAGUGUUUGGGAUGAUUAUGGUAAAAAAUUAUAUUAUAAAAAUAAUUUAUGUGUAUUUUAUAAAGUUAUAACCAAAAAUUAUAUUAUGUUAAGUCCUAAUCUUUUUUAAGUUGUGGCCAAAAAAAUUAUUAUAAAAAAUAAUUUAAGUUAUAAUAUAUUUAUUUAUAUAAAAUUAUGGCCAAGAAGUAUGGACAUAACUUAUUUAUGUGUUCAUGCUAUAUAUUAUAAAAAUAGUAUGCUUAUAAGAAAAAAAAAGUGUUUAUUUUUUAACACGAUUUAGUCAUAAAAAAUAAUUUUCUAAAGUUAUGAUAAAAAAAACUAUAUGAUUUAUAAGAAGUGUUAUGAAAGUUAUUAGACAUUUUAUAAAACAUUUUUUUAAAAGGUUAUAUAUUAUAAUUUUAUAUUAUUUUUUACUUAAUUUACAUAUUAUUAAAAGGAUUAUAACUUAGCAUAAUUCUUUCUCUAAAUUAAGUUUAUAUAAGUUUUUAUCGAAACAAAAGGGCUGGAAGAAACAUACUACCAAUCAAAUCUAUUUUGAUAGUUUAUCCUGGGUGAGGUAAACUUGUGAACUAGUUUUAACAAAUGGCAAACAUAGAAAAAUUAUGUUAAAAGAAAUGGAGAAUGAAGGAAAACAAAGCGAGAAGCAUAAUAGAACGAAAAAUAAAGGGAAAAAAAGGGAAGUAAAAAGAACAUAAAAGAAAUAAAAUUAAAUUGCUUAAAACGAAAAAAUAUGAAAUCGAUUGUAUAAAUUAACCUAAAAUUUUUGUUUGAAAUGAUAAUUUAACGUACCACGUCAACUUACUGUUACACGGAAAUUAACGGCUCAGUGACUAAAAUAUUACAAUGCGAUAAUGUAAGUGACUAAAACGUAACAUUUCAAAUAUAAGUGACUAAAAUGUAAACUGAGGUAAACAGAAGUGACUACUUUAGUAGUUUACCUUAUUUUAAUUAAGUUUGCCAGUGGUUUUGUUUCAUGGCUUCUUACAACAAAUAGUUUUCUCCUAACAAAAAAAGAACAUAGUUUUCUCGGUACAUUUUAUUGAGAACAGUAUUGAUCUCCUAACUAUUACAGAUUUCUCCUGACAGUAUCAGAUGAGAUGGCGAGGACCCAGGCAUCUCUUACCGAAGGGGCCUUGGUUUCCAUGCAGCUAAGAAAUCCUUUAGUCGUGGUGAUCCUGCUCCAAUACUAGGAAGAGGCCGAGGUUCAAUGAAGGGCCAGUCAAGAAAAGAACUUUUGCCUUCACAGAAUGGAACCGAAAAGAAACUUCCGAAUGAGAUUGAAUUACUUUACACAAAGAUGCUAGUAAAUGAGAUAUUUAUGGAGAGCCAGCUAAACUGAAACUGCCAAAAUGAGAUAAUUUACUCUAUAAGAUGUUAGCUAAUUUUAUUUUGCUCGCUUCAACAGGUGAAAAGGGCUUUUGAUACAAGUCAUCCCGAUCUUGUUGAGCUUGAGAAAGCAAAGAAGAAGCUGAAAGUAAGAAUAUGAUUCACAUAGCCUGAAUACAUUCUUUUUAUUGCUUAGUUGUUAUGACCACAGGCUUGAGGUCGAGUUAUGGGGUGAUUUAACAGAAAAAUAAGAUCCGACAGAAGGGUCUUUGCCCGUAUUUCGAUUCCUGGUUUUGCCUAUGGUGAUGGAACUCUAAGGGAGUAGCCUACCCUAGAACUCUAUGAAAGUUGCCUACCUUAAUUUACUGCAAAUUGAACUUGUUUUAUUACUUAGUAAAUUUCCCCUUAAAUAGAGGUUCACAAUAAGAGCAACCCUAAUAUCCUAUCAUACUAGGAAAGUUUUAUUUAAGCUAAAAUGAAAGUUUAGGAAAUAAAAUGAAAUCAGAAUCCCAAACCUCCUUCCUAGUUAUCUCUUUUAUUCUAAUGAUUCUUUCCUUUUGUAACAUUAGUACUGCAAGUUUAACCAUUAUAUCUAAUGCAGGACAGGAACAAGCGCUCAUCAAUGCUAUUGUAAGGCUUGCUGAUGCAUCUGAUGGUGAAAGUGGUAAUCAAUAUGUGUAUACAUAGUGAUCUUUUAUGUGAUCUUUUCUGUAAAAUACACAUAGUCCAUCGAUGAAUCUUAUUAUUGCAUUUUGUUUUCUUUUGUUCUUUUCCUCCAUUUGAUUUGGGAGGAAAAGCUAGCUGCAAGUUCUUGUUCAACAUGUAUUUAUUUAGUAUUUUGCUAUUAAUCAUGUAAGUGUUUCAGGCUAUCGACCAAAUCAUCACAUUCACAAAUGCCGAAUUAUCAUUCUUAACAUAUCGACAUUCAUUCAUACUUUAUUACAAGUAUAUGCACCUAUUCAUCUACUUGGCAAGCAAGAAAUAACUCAUUUAUAAGCAUAAAAUUGUCAAAUGGGCAAGCAACCCAUUAAUUCACUAAACUACUACAUAUACAUACCUCCAACAUAUAUGGUAUCAUAUUCAAAAUGUAAAAUUUCUUAAGACCAAAACUUCAAAACCAACCCUAAGAUCAACUCAAGAGAUUAGAUAUCUAUCAUUUGUUAUAAACACAACAGAAACUAUACAAGCUUGCUGAAUCGAGAGUUGAAUUUUGAAUAUUGCCGAUCACCUUAAGACUUCAAGAUCUAUAUUAUUUGCACACGAAAAUAAACAAAUUGUACGCUGAGUAAUAGGGCUCAGUGAUACAAACAUGAUUUAAAUCAAUAAUAAAAUAGAAACAAGGUACCAAAAACACAUAAUAUGAUACACAAAUACUAUCUAAAUCAUAGUUGUAUUACUAGUCUCAUAAACUAAACAUCACAAUUUGUGCUACUCAACACGUGAUAUAUCAACAUUUAGUCCUUAUACCAUACAUUUCAAUUACAUGAAUAAUAUAGCAUAACACAAGGGUCAUUGUACUUUUUCAUUUCAUUCUCAAAUCUAUUGAUUUGUUAUAUAACUGAACCGGCUCUCAGGCUCUUGAUAACUAGAUCAUAUGACAUUUCACAUUCCAUUAUUUAUUGUUUAAACAUCAAGAUACAAUUAUACAAUUCAAUAUCCAAUAUCAAUAGCAAAAUAUAUAUUUUCAUAAUCCUUGAUAAUCAGACACAGACUCAAGAUGGAAACACGAAUCAUCUAACCAUCACACUAAUAUAUCCGGCACCCAGUGCCUCAUCGAUACAUCUAAAGUAUAAUAUGCAUGUUGAAAAAAUCCGGUUUGAAAACAGUUUUUUCGCACAACGAAAAAAUAAAAAUUUUGAAAAUCGAGUUGGUUUGUAAUAUUUAUAGCAAUAAACUUUUUCUUGAAAUAAUACCCAUGCUUUGAGCGAGACGGAUAUUAAAUGUUCCUGAUUUUCAACCGAACAGUCUUCCCCACUAUUCUCAUAUCACGAAUUGCUUCGAGUGUGGGCUCGAAUAGUUACGAAUCAAACACAGAAUCAUAAUUUUUUUUUUACUUUCAAUAUGAAAGUAAAUCUUUUUCUCUUAUACAAACCGAUAGAAUUGUUAUUCCCAAAAAAUAAAAUUUAUAUUUUAUAAAUAAAUUCUCACUAAUUUUGAAUAGAAUAACAAUAUCUCGGGCUUAUUACUAAAAAAAGCCCUUUUUUUAAUUUACCGAAAUAGGCCACUUUUUUAAUUAUUUACCGGAAUGGGCCAUUUUCCGCGAAAUCGCGUCCACGUCAGCGCGAUUUGCUGACGUGGAAGGAAAUCGCGCCCUCUAGGACGCGAUUUGCUGACGUGGCAUGAACAGUGUGUUUUUAGCUUGGAAAACUUUGAAAGACCAUAACUUUUGGCUCGGUUGUCCGAUUGAGGCAAAUUUUUUUUGAUUUAAAAUAAAUUUUCGAGAUCUUCGUGCUGGAAAACUGCUUAGAGAUGAAUAGGGACUAAUUUGUAAAGUAUAAUUUGUUAGUUACGAGUAUAGGGACUAAAGUGUAAUUAUUUCAAAAUUAGCAUGAAAUUUUUGUAUUUAAGAAUAUUUGAAUGUUAUGGAAGGAUGAAAUUGAAUUUGAAUUGAAAAACGAAGCUUAGAUUUGAAAAUAUGACUAUUUAGGUUUUAGGGACUAAAUUGAAUAAAAUGGAAAAUUUUAAGGAACUUCUCAAAAGUGGAAUGAGCUGACUUAUACCUAUAACAGGAUGAUAUAAGACAAUUCUGUAAAAAAAGAUCCGGUGUUUACUUCAAAUAAAUGAGGAAAAUAACGAUUUGAAUGUUUCAAAAUUCAAUUUUAAACAGAAAAAAAUCAAAAUUUAGGGGAAAAAAGGAUCUUUUUCGAUGAAAACUUCGGCAAACAGCCUUAGGCGGUUUGCUAGCGCGUAGAUCUCGAAAAGUUAUUCGAAAUCAAAAAAAAUUCGUCUCAAUCGGACAACCGAGCCAAAAGUUAUGGCCUUUCAAAGUUUUCCAAGCUAAAAACACACUGUUCAUGCCACGUCAGCAAAUCGCGUCCUAGAGGGAGCGAUUUCCUUCCACGUCAGCAAAUCGCGCUGACGUGGACGCGAUUUCCUGCGCGUACCCUGACAUCGCGCUGACGUGGACGCGAUUUCGCGGAAAAUAGCCCAUUCCGGUAAAUAAUUAAAAAACCGGCCUAUUUCGGUAAAUUUUGAAAAAAACCGGCCUUUUUUGGUUAUUUGGCCUAAAAUUUAACAGUCGGUUAACGCAAUUAGUGAUAUUAUAUAUAUUCAAAAAUUUGGUAAGAGAAAACAUUUUUAUGUUAAUUUUUUAACUUCGUUCAAGAAUUAUUAAUGAUUUGAUGGUAAAGAAUUUGUUUGUAAAUUUUAUUAAACAUGGGUUCAAUCAUUUAGAUAUGUUAAUUUUAAUUUUAGUUAUUUUAUUUUGAAACUAUAUAAAAGUAUGAAAAGAUAAAAUGAUAUCAAAAUAAUAAUAGUAGUAAUUUAAUAAAAGGAUGUCAAUAUUAAUAUUAUAUUAAAAUGUUAAUAUUAUAUUAAAAUAAAAUUUUAAUUUUUUUGUAAAAUUAAUAUUUUAUUAAUGUGAAUAGCAUAGGUUUAAAUCAAACUAUAUACAAAUAUUUUUAUUGGAUUUUUUUAAAUUAAAAAAACUAAAAUGUCCUCAUAAAAUACAAUUUAUUUUAAUUACGAAUGGGUAUUUUUAUAAUUUCUCAAACUUACUAUCCGAUUAGUCCGUAAUAUCAACUCAAUCAAUGAUUUAAAUAAUAGUAUAGAUAACUAUCAUAAAAUUUAUAACAUAUACUCUUUUUUUACAUUAUUUCAUUUACUAUCGUAUAAUACAAUGGGUUUAUAUGAUAUAUGUAAAUAUAUAUACUAGAAUGUGUUUUGGGUGGGCUUAAAAUUUUAAAUUACGAUUAAAAUUAUAAUAUAUUUUUAUUAAAAUAAUUAAUAUAGAUUAAAUCUUAAACUUUAGUGAGAGGGGAACCUCUUAGCAUGAUGAUCAGAGUAUUCACAAUUCCAGGUGUGAUUUAGGUUCAAGUUGCGUCAAUCACCUUGUUGCUAAUGCUUUGGCCUCUUAUUAUAAUCCACUAAAAUAAAAACUUUAAUAAGAGGGAUUAAUACUACAAUUUUAUUAUUAUUUUAUAAGAAAAGAAAAAAACACAUGUGAUGACAUAAUCGCUUAAGACUUUUUUUAUUUAAAGAACUAUUGAAAUUAUAAAUAUCAAGGUACUAAAUUAUGUUAAAAUGAAGUAUAAAAAAUAAAUUUUAAAAAAAUAAGUGUAGGAAUCAAAAUUGAAAUAUGAUAUUUUUAUGUUAUUUAAAUAAAAUAAAGGGACCAUAAAUUAAAUUUAACCAUUUAUAUUUUUAACGGAAAAUGGUCCAUUCCGGUAAAUAAUUAGAAAAGUGGCCUAUUUCGGUAAAUUUAAAAAAAAAGAGCUUUUUUUAGUAAUAAGCCCCAAUAUCUCAAAAUUCUUUUGUUUUAUAUUGGAUUAAUGAGUACACAUCUCAUCCCAAAUUAUAAGGAUUAGUCUAAUAUUGAAAUUGAAAAGUGUUUAAUACCACAAAUUAUUAUUUAAUAUGUUUAGAUAUUAUUAAUAUCACAACUGUAUUAUUAUUUCUUUUUAUAAUAUCGUAUUUUGGUUAUAUAGACAAUAGGUGCCGAUUUUAUUAAAUUGACCAAAUAGGCUACUUUUUUUCAUGAUUUAAAAAACCAUGUCGAUUUUAAAGAGUGUGUGAAAAUACGUCCAACUAGACAAACUUUCUACACAUUUAGCAGAAAAGUUUGUCCAACUGAGUGAACUUUCUAUUGACAUGUUAGGAAAAGCACGCCCAAUUGGACGCAUUUUCUUUAAAAUUUUCAAAAAAUGCUUCUAGUUAGAUACGCUUUCUCUAACAUGACAAUUAAAAGCUCUCUCUCUCUCUAAAAGCGACCUAUUUUCCUAAAUCUUUAAAAAAAAACCUAUUUAACCAAUUAAAAAAAUUCGAGAUAUUUAACCUAUUUAGCCUCAUAUUUUGUAUUCUUUUCAAUGUCGUGGUUUUGCAUAACUUUUUCUAUAAUCAGAUGACAUUCUCCACCCUGCCGCAAAACAAAUAUAAACUCAUUGAAUAAAAUAUAAUUUAACCGCCUAUGAUGCUGAAAAAAUAUCUUACAACAAUACUAAAAAUGGAGUACUGAAACCGUCCUUCAUUUUCUUGAACGCUUCUUUGCCUGUCCACCACCUGAAUGGUUCUCAACAGCUUCCCUUCCCCGCUUACCAGGAGGAGCUGAUUGGGUGGCAGGCACUCUUUUAGGCGGUCUUCCUGUACUCCUCUUUGCCGGACUCGUUCUUUUUCCGCCAGAACGUGUCCGUGGAGUCGGAGUUCGAUCCUUCUGUUGAUCACCUUUGCUGCUAGUGCUGUUUUUCUUAUGCUCACCUGCAUCUCCUCCUCCUUUACCCUUAUCAGAACUAAUCACACCCUUCAGUGUCUCUGUCAAUGGCUCAUUACCGGAUAAAGAGCUCCUCAUUCUAUUCAAGAAAUUCGCUGCACUUGGCUUUUUUGAACUAGCAGUUUUGCUGUUGCUCUUCUCCUUCUCACCACCCUUGGAUUCCGAGUUAUCAUUUGAGGAUCCACCUUUGCUUGAAAUGGCAGCAUUGGCAUUGGUACCUGAAUUCUUGUUUGUGUUUGUGUUACUCCGAGCCUUUGCAUUUUUGCUUGCUUUUCUUAAACCCGAGGCCGAACUUUCUCUUGUUCUCUUCUUUGCUACAGGACUUCCCUCAAUGGAUUUAUCAUGCUGCUUCCAACCUAGAGCUGGUUUCUCGUUCAUCAACGAAGCUAGCAGCUGCCUUUUUUUCUCUUGCCCUGAAGAUGAUGUUGACGAUUUGGCAGCAAUCGAGCUGCGUUUGCGACAAGCAAUCAAUGGGACUGAUAGUUUAGGUUUCAUUGACAAGGAGAGUGACAGUUGAGGUUCUGGUUUCAAAGGCAUCUGGGAUUCAAGCACCCUACUUGGUGAUUGUUCUUUGGGCAAUACGCUUGAAUUGCGAAACUGGGCAUCGAUCUCCUUUGAGACAAGUUGUCGAAAC